rnacentral:rRNA from 1 species
UACGGGGGGGGCAAGCGUUGUUCGGAAUUACUGGGCGUAAAGGGCGCGUAGGCGCCAUCUAAGUCAGACGUGAAAUCCCUCGGCUCAACCGAGGAACUGCGUCUGAUACUGGAAGGCUUGAAUCCGGGAGAGGGAUGUGGAAUUCCAGGUGUAGCGGUGAAAUGCGCAGAUAUCAGGAAGAACACCCGUGGCUAAGGCGGCUCUCUAGUACGGUACUGACGCUGAGACGCGAAAGCGUUGGGGGAGCGAACAGG